rnacentral:rRNA from 1 species
UACGGAGGGGGCUAGCGUUGUUCGGAAUUACUGGGCGUAAAGCGCACGUAGGCGGCUUUGUAAGUUAGAGGUGAAAGCCCGGGGCUCAACUCCGGAAUUGCCUUUAAGACUGCAUCGCUAGAAUCAUGGAGAGGUUAGUGGAAUUCCGAGUGUAGAGGUGAAAUUCGUAGAUAUUCGGAAGAACACCAGUGGCGAAGGGCGA